rnacentral:rRNA from 1 species
GACGAACGCUGGCGGCGUGCCUAAUACAUGCAAGUAGAACGCCGUUGCGAACGGGUGAGUAACGCGUAGGUAACUGCCUGGUAGCGGGGGAUAACUAUUGGAAACGAUAGCUAAUACCGCAUCCUACCAGCUUGACCUGCGUUGUAUUAGCUAGUUGGUGGGGUAACGUCUCACCAAGGCAACGAUCCCUAGCCGACCUGAGAGGGGGAUCGGCCAAAAUGGGAAUGAGAAAAGGCCCAGACCCCUACGGGAAACAGCAGGAGGGAAUCUUCGGCAAAUGACGGAAGUCUGACCGAGCAACGCCGCGUGAGUGAAGAAGGUUUUCGGAUCGUAAAGCGCUGUUGUAAGAGAAGCGGUAUCUUACCAGAAAGGGACGGCUAACUACGUGCCAGCAGCCGCGGUAAUAC